rnacentral:rRNA from 1 species
UACGAAGGGGGCUAGCGUUGCUCGGAAUCACUGGGCGUAAAGCGCUCGUAGGUGGUUUGUCGCGUUGUUCGUGAAAACUCACAGCUUAACUGUGGGCGUGCGGGCGAUACGGGCAGACUGGAGUACUGCAGGGGAGACUGGAAUUCCCGGUGUAGAGGUGAAAUUCGUAGAUAUCGGGAGGAACACCAGUGGCGAAGGCGGCGACCUGGGCCAAUACUGACGCUGAGGUGCGAAAGCGUGGGGAGCAAACAGG